rnacentral:rRNA from 1 species
GACGAACGCUGGCGGCGUGCCUAAUACAUGCAAGUCGAGCGCAGGAAGCUGACGGAACUCUUCGGAGGGAAGGCAGUGGAAUGAGCGGCGGACGGGUGAGUAACACGUAAGGAACCUGCCUCAAGGAUUGGGAUAACUCCGAGAAAUCGGAGCUAAUACCGGAUAGUUCAACGGAACGCCAGGUCCGCUGCGGAAAGGCGCACCGGCGUCACCUUGAGAUGGCCUGGCGGUGCAUUAGCUAGUUGGUGGGGUAACGGCCCACCAAGGCGACGAUGCAUAGCCGACCUGAGAGGGUGAUCGGCCACACUGGGACUGAGACACGGCCCAGACUCCUACGGGAGGCAGCAGUAGGGAAUCUUCCACAAUGGACGAAAGUCUGAUGGAGCAACGCCGCGUGAGUGAUGAAGGUUUUCGGAUCGUAAAACUCUGUUGUAAGGGAAGAACACGUACGAGAGGGAAUGCUCGUACCUUGACGGUACCUUACGGGAAAGCCACGGCUAACUACGUGCCAGCAGCCGCAGUAACAC